UUAAAGGUCGUCCCAUUUCUGCUGCUAUAGAGACUUCUCCUACUGUAACUAUCAACAAGAAAGGAAGGAAGGAGAAAAUUGACUAAAGCAGUUCUUAAACAGAUGAUGGUUUUCAAGAAGACUACUGCAUUCACAUUGCUGGGUCGCUGCUGGAAGAGCCAGAUGAAGCUGAUGCAGUUCCAGAUGCUAAAUAUGAAAAGUUGAUUGGAAGGAUCGACAAAUGUAGCAUUUGCAACCACAGACUUGCUGCUGAGGUACCCACUAAGUGGGUUUUGUAUACUUCUGAUAUUGAAGCACUGCAAUGCACAGCGUCAUACAUCAGGGAAAUGUUAGUCUUGAUGUCUCAGAUAUACGUUCAUUUGCAAAUACCCAGUCCAUAAAUUAAAGACUGUUUCCUUUAGCCAUAGACAAAUUUUCUUUAUGGGUAAUUUCAAUGAGCAUUUAAGUUUACAUAGCAAAGAAAUAAGUAAUAUUUCCACUCUAAGUAUUAUUUCCACAGCAAGCAGCUGUGUUAAACAGUUUGAGUAGCUUUUCAGAUAAAGAGAACUGCCAGGGAAAAUGAUGAAGGAUGCUGACUUUUGGUCUCAGGUUUUUUCCUUUCCUUCUGUGUGCUAUUUAGUGGAACUCGAGAAUUUGAAAUAGUGCCCUUGGUUUUGAAUGGGAGAAGGGGUAAAAGACAUUCAUUAAAGAUGAUCAGCAAGUGCAAAAUGUUCCUUACAGCUUCUUGACUACUGUUCACCCCUCCCUGCAAGCCAUUCAUUCCUGAGGCUUGUGGGUCUGGCAGAGCAAUUCAUCAUUAACCUCUCUAUUACACUCAGCUAUUUUACAAAUAGAAAGCACAUACCUACCAGACAAAUUUUGAGAUAGCCUAGGAUUUCUAUAAAAAGAGGGUGGAAACAACUUCAGUUAAUGUAGUACAUUCUCUUAAAAUAUUGUCUUAGCAUUUGGCAUUUAGUAUGAUACCAUUGGAAUCUGAAUUCCAAGUUUUUUGUAAUUGGACCUAGUGUUCUCUCUCCUGCAGGAUUUCUUUGAUGGGCAAUCAGUAUAUUGAACAUUUUGUAAAAACUUUUUAAAGAAAAAAAGUGGAUAUGAAUAAGAUUUCCUUUCUACUGUUGUCCUUCAGCACAUUACAGUCUCAAGUGUGCUUCAUAGAUGUAUUUGCAUUCAAAACAAUUAUUCACUAUAUUAUCUUUAAAAAAAAUAUAUAUCUGUCUUCCUGGUAAAAUAUGGGCAAUCUGACCAAUAAAAGGCAAGUGGGCUACUCUUCUUAGUCCUAC
rnacentral:lncRNA from 1 species